UACGGGGGGAGCAAGCGUUGUUCGGAUUUACUGGGCGUAAAGGGCGCGUAGGCGGCCAGCACAAGUCAGUUGUGAAAUCUCCGAGCUUAACUCGGAAAGGUCAACUGAUACUGUGCGGCUAGAGUGCGGAAGGGGCAACUGGAAUUCUUGGUGUAGCGGUGAAAUGCGUAGAUAUCAAGUGGAACACCCGUGGCGAAGGCGGCCCCCUGGGCCGUACCUGACGCUGAGGCGCGAAGGCUAGGGGAGCGAACGGG
rnacentral:rRNA from 1 species